AUACGGAGGGAGCAAGCGUUGUUCGGAAUCACUGGGCGUAAAGGGCGCGCAGGCGGUUUGGUAAGUCAGAUGUGAAAGCCCAUGGCUCAACCAUGGAAGUGCAUUUGAAACUGUCAGACUUGAGUACUAGAGGGGAAAGUGGAAUUCCCGGUGUAGAGGUGAAAUUCGUAGAUAUCGGGAGGAAUACCGGUGGCGAAGGCGACUUUCUGGCUAGAUACUGACGCUGAGGCGCGAAAGCGUGGGGAGCAAACAGGAUUAGAUACCCGAGUAGUCC
rnacentral:rRNA from 1 species